UUUCCCCUUCUCCGCCCUAAAGACCUUGUCUUUCUCUUGGAAUCCCUUACCCUCUGGCAGGAAGUAGAGGAAGAGCAAACUGGCUUUGGGAACCAGGCAUACCUAGUUGUGCUGUCAGCCAAAGCCCACCAAGUUCAUCCUGUAAAGUCACACGCCUGAAGAAACAACCAAAAGUCCAUUACUUAAAGACAUGAUAUACAGAACAUAUUGAUCUACAAAAGACCCAACGACCCAAAUUAUAUGCUGCCCAACCUACUGGUGAACUGGAUUGGAACUGGCCAAGGAUUGGGGCUGAACUGGGUGCUAGUCAUCAAAGUUUGGAAUGUCAUUUUAGAAGCAACCUCUAGAAGUAAUCCUGGUAAGCCCUAGAAGUAAUCCUUUGGAUGCAUAGUAGGCUCUGUGCAGGUGUCUGCUGCAGUUUGUGGGAGGUCCUCUUCAGACCCUCUUCAACUGGGUAUCAC
rnacentral:lncRNA from 10 species